UACGUAGGGGGCAAGCGUUGUCCGGAAUCAUUGGGUGUAAAGCGCGUGUAGGCGGUCCGGUAAGUCCGCUGUGAAAGUCGGGGGCUUAACCCUCGGAUGCCGGUGGAUACUGUCGGGCUUGAGUACGGAAGAGGCGAGUGGAAUUCCUGGUGUAGCGGUGAAAUGCGCAGAUAUCAGGAGGAACACCAAUUGCGAAGGCAGCUCGCUGGGACGUUACUGACGCUGAGACGCGAAAGCGUGGGGAGCAAACAGG
rnacentral:rRNA from 1 species